AGACCCGAAACCCGGUGAUCUAGCCAUGGGCAGGUUGAAGGUUGGGUAACACUAACUGGAGGACCGAACCGACUAAUGUUGAAAAAUUAGCGGAUGACCUGUGGCUGGGGGUGAAAGGCCAAUCAAACCGGGAGAUAGCUGGUUCUCCCCGAAAGCUAUUUAGGUAGCGCCUCGUGAAUUCAUCUCCGGGGGUAGAGCACUGUUUCGGCUAGGGGGCCAUCCCGGCUUACCAACCCGAUGCAAACUGCGAAUACCGGAGAAUGUUAUCACGGGAGACACACGGCGGGUGCUAACGUCCGUCGUGAAGAGGGAAACAACCCAGACCGCCAGCUAAGGUCCCAAAGUCAUGGUUAAGUGGGAAACGAUGUGGGAAGGCCCAGACAGCCAGGAUGUUGGCUUAGAAGCAGCCAUCAUUUAAAGAAAGCGUAAUAGCUCACUGGUCGAGUCGGCCUGCGCGGAAGAUGUAACGGGGCUAAACCAUGCACCGAAGCUGCGGCAGCGACGCUGAUGCGUUGUUGGGUAGGGGAGCGUUCUGUAAGCCUGCGAAGGUGUGCUGUGAGGCAUGCUGGAGGUAUCAGAAGUGCGAAUGCUGACAUAAGUAACGA
rnacentral:rRNA from 1 species